ACCAAUCAUUUCGAGUGGAUCCCAUGACGAAUUUGACUCUACGCGACCCAAGGCUAGAGACGUUCUUCAGCAAAGAUGGCUGACAAAAAUGCUAUGAUGGUAGUACAUGGACUCCUGAAACAACCAGCAAACCAGGCUGUCAUCUUGUGAAACAGAAUCUAGCUAGCUAAAGCAUUUACUGCAAAUUGAAUGUUCAAAUUUGUAAGCUUGUCUUGCUGAUAUUUGCCAUGCAGAUAGAUUAAGUAACCUAGUUAUUUAUAACUAUGUUCUUGCUUUAUAACUAUGUUCUUGCUUACUGUGCAGUGGAGGAUAAAAAUACCUGUAAGCCUAUGGAUGUGUAGCUAGCUAUGUAGCCGAUCUGUGUAUGGAACCAAACGUUUGGUAUACAUUAGUUCAGAGCCUAGCUAUGAACCUCAGCUAUCAUAGCCAGUUGUAUCAAAUAAAAAAAUGUCUGAAUGACAUUAAUGAAGCCUAUGGAUUGAGUAGGAUAUAAUAUUUUUGUGCAAAGGAUGCAAGUCGUAUAUACAUGUAGUUAUUACUAUGCAUGAGAUCCUCUUCAAAGGGGGAGACACUCAAGACCCAAACUGUUACAGACCUAUAUCUAUCCUACCCUGCCUUUCUCAAGUCUUCAAAAGCCAAGUUAACAAACAGAUCACCAACUAUUUCGAAUCCCACCGUACCUUCUCCUCUAUGCUAACUGGUUUCUGAGCGGGUCAUGGGUGCACCUCAGCCACGCUCAAGGUCCUAAACGGUAUCAUAACCGCCAUCGAUAAAAGACAAUAGUGUGCAGCCAUCUUCAUCGACCUGGCCAAGGCUUUCGUCUCUGUCAAUCGCCGCAUUCUUAUCGGCAGACUCAACAACCUUGAUUUCUCAAAUGACUGCCUCGCCUGGUUCACAAACUACUUCUCAGAUAGAGUUCAGUGUUUCAAAUCGGAGGGCCCGUUGUCCGGACCUCUGGCAGUCUAAUGGGGGUGCCACAGGGUUCAAUUUUCGAGCCGACACUUUUCUCUGUAUACAUCAUUGAUGUCGCUCUUGCUGCUGGUGAUUUUCUGAUCCACCUCUUUGCAGCCGACACCAUUCGGUAUACUUCUGGCUCUUCUUUGGACACUGUGUUAGCAAACCUCCAGAUGAGCUUCAAUGCCAUACAACACUCCUUCCGUGGCCUUCAACUGCUCUUAAAUGCAAGUAAAACUAAAUCAUCACUACUCUGGACGGUUCUGACUUAGAAUAUGUGGACAGCUACAAAUACCUAGGUGUCUGGUUAGACUGUAGACUCUCCUUCCAGACUCACAUUAAGCGUCUCCAAUCCAAAAUUAAAUCUAGAAUCGGCUUCCUAUUUCACAACAAAGCAUACUUCACUCAUGCUGCCAAACAUACCCUCGUAAAACUGACUAUCCUACCGAUCCUCGACUUUGGCGAUGUCAUUUACAAAAUAGCCUCCAACCCUCUACUCAGCAAAUUGGAUGUAGUCUAUCUCAAUGCCAUCCGUUUUGUCACCAAAGCCCCAUACACUACCCACCACUGCGACCUGUAUGCUCUCGUUGGCUGGCCCUCGCUUCAUAUUUGUCGCCAAACCCACUGGCUCCAGGUCAUCUUUAAGUCUCUGCCAGGUAAAGCCCUGCCUUAUCUCAGCUCACUGGUCACCAUAGCAGCACCCUCCCGUAGCACGCACUCCAGUGGGUAUAUUUCACUUGUCAUCCCCAAAGCCAACUGUCAGAGCAGCUUACCGAUCAUUACACCUGUACACAGUCCAUCUGUAAAUAGACCACCCAACGACCUCAUCCCCAUAUAUCUAUAUAUAUUCUUUUGCUCCUUUGCACCCCAGAUCUCUACUUGCUCAUUCAUCUUCUGCACAUCUCACUCCACUGUUUAAUUGCUAAAUUGUACCUCCCUAAUCUUACUAAAUUUGCACACACUGUAUAUAGAUUUUUCUAUUGUGUUAUUGACUGUACGUUUGUUUAUCCGAUGUGUAACUGUUGUUUGUGUUGCUUUGCUUUAUCUUGGCCAGGUCGCAGUUGUAAAUGAGAACUUGUUCUCAACUGGCCUACCUGUGUCACAGAGAGCCUUUUUACAUCUCUAUUUGGUUUGGUCGGGGUGUGAUUUGGGGUGGGUAUUCUAUGAUUUUGUAUUUCUAUGUUUUGGCCGGGUAUGGUUCUCAAUCAGGGACAGCUGUCUAUUGUUGUCUCUGAUUGGGAACCAUACUUAGGUAGCCCCUUUCCUCCUUUCAGAGUAGGAAGUUAUCUUUGUUUGUGGCACUAAUGCCCUGUAAGCUUCCCAGUUGUCUUUAUUGUUUGUUGCUUUGUUGGCGACAUUUUGAAAUAAAAAGGAAAAUGUACGUUCA